rnacentral:rRNA from 1 species
UACGUAGGGCGCAAGCGUUUAUCCGGAAUUAUUGGGCGUAAAGAGCUCGUAGGCAGUUUGUCGCGUCUGCCGUGAAAGUCCGGGGCUCAACUCCGGAUCUGCGGUGGGUACGGGCAGACUAGAGUGAUGUAGGGGGAGACUGGAAUUCCUGGUGUAGCGGUGAAAUGCGCAGAUAUCAGGAGGAACACCGAUGGCGAAGGCAGGUCUCUGGGCUGGUAACUGACGCUGAGGAGCGAAAGACAUGGGGAGCGAACAGG